UUACACACAUCAAUUAUAUGGGUUGAAAGGUGUUGGACCAAAUACUGACCCCUGUGGAACAUUAUGUACAAAAAGGCCCAAAAUGGUGAUCUCAUUUCAUACAACCUCACUAAUUGUCUCCUGUUUAAUUUUAUACCCAGUCUACCAGAGACUCCUGACCACUGACACAGAAAACACAAAUGAUCUGGCAGAGAGCAGUGGGACAGAGGCGAUGUUAAAGCAGAACUAUCCUGGUUUAUUUAAUUUUAGCAGCUUUAUCCUGGCUGCAGCAAGAGGACUAUGUUGGUUUAAAUGAGUCGACUCCUUUUAAUUAUUUAAAUUAUCAUAUUUCUCGAAGUACAGGGCGAGGAGGAGGAGUAGCAACCAUUUUUCAUUCGGACUUAUUAAUCAGUCCCUUACCAAUUAGUAGCUACAGCUUGUUCGAAAAUCUUAUUCUUAGUUUUCCUAAUCCAAAUUGCAAAACUGUAAAACCACUCUUGUUUGUAGUUUUAUAUCGUCCACCGGGCCCUUACUCUGAGUUUUUGGAUCAGAUCUCUGAUUUUUUAUCUGAUUUGGUGCUAAAUACUGAUAAGGUCAUUGUAGUGGGGGAUUUUAAUAUUCAUGUGGACAUUGAAAAUGAUAGCCUCAAUGUAGCCCUUAGUAAUAUCUUAGACUCAAUUGGUUUUACUCAAAGAAUACAUAGCUCCACCCACUCCUGCCAUCAUACAUUGGACCUUGUGCUGACUUAUGACAUAGAGUGUGAGGAAAUAACCAUCUUUCGACAUUAUCCAGUCCUCUUGGACCACUUUCUGAUAACCUUUGAGUUUUUUAUAACUGGGUUCUUGAGACAUGAAAGUAAAUUUCACUAUAGUCGGUCUCUAUCUAACAACGCUGUUGCGUCUUUUAAAUCAACUGUCCCAUCUGUACUGUCCUCUGCAUCUCAGAGGCAUGUAGCAGAGGGCAACAUUUUCAGUUCUAGCCCCUCAUAAAUUGAUGCCUUUGUUCAUAAUGUUACUUCCUCUUUACGUGUGGCAUUAGAUGAUGUUGCCCCUUUAAAAAAGAAGGUAAUUAGGGACAGGAAGUUGGCUACCUGGUCUUCAGGCCCUGGUUUAAUUCUCAUUUACGAGCUUUAAAACAAAACACUAGAAAAUUGGAGAGAACAUGGCGCUCUACGUACCAUGAGGAGGCCUACCUAUCCUGGAAAAAUAGUCUUGUGCUUUAUAAAAAUAAGCUUCAACAAACUAGAACUGCUUAUUUCUCAGCAUUAAUUGAGGAAAAUAAGCAUAAUCCUAAAUUUCUUUUCAGUACAGUGGCUAAACUUACACAGAAUCAUAGCUCUGAGCCAUCUAUUCCCUUAGCCCUCAGCAGCAAUGACUUCAUGGGAUUUUUUACAAGUAAAAUGAAUUCUAUUAGAAACAAAAUCUUUUGCAUCCUCCCUAAUGCAAUUUUUUCUUCCUCAGUAAGUGAGGCAGCAUCAGAGGUAACUGUAGAACCUCAUCUGUGCUUGAACCGUUUUGAUCCAGUUGAGCUUCCAGAGUUAUCAAAAAUAUUAGCUUCAUCCAAACCUUCAACUUGCAUUUUAGAUCCAAUCCCAACCAAAUUAUUUAAAGAUGAAUUUCCUUUGGUUACUGCCCCGAUUAUAGAUAUAAUCAAUCAAUCCUCAGUAAAUGGAUAUGUACCACAGGAUUUUAAGGUUGCUGUAAUCAAACUCUCACUUAAGAAGCCUUCUCUUGAUCCAGAUGACCCAAUGAAUUAUAGACCAAUAUGUAACCUUCCAUUUUUAUCCAAAGUCCUGGAGAAAAUGGUGGCCAUCCAAGUAUGUGAGCAUUUAAACACUAAUGAUCUGUUUGAGGAAUUUCAGUCUGGUUUUAGAGCGUAUCACAGUACUGAAACUGCAUUAGUGAGAAUUACAAAUGAUAUUCUCAUGGACUCCGAUAAGAAUCUUGUGUCUGUUCUAGUCUUGUUAGAUCUCAGUGCUGCUGUUGACACAGUAAUUCACAAUGUUCUUGUAGAAAGGCUUGAACAUGUAGUAGGGAUCAAAGGAACAGCGCUAGGCUGGUUUAAAUCCUACCUGUCUGACAGAUUUCAUUUUGUAAAUGUACAUGAAAAAAUCUUCUUCAUACUCCAGGGUUACUUGUGGAGUACCACAGGGUUCAGUGCUUGGACCAAUUCUUUUUACUAUAUAUAUGCUCCCAAUUGGUAAAAUCCUUAGACAGCAUGGGAUAAACUUUCACUGUUAUGCUCAGUUAUAUUUAUCCAUUAACCCUGAUGAACCUAAUUAGUUGGGUAGAUUACAGGCUUGUCUUGAGGACAUAAGAAAUUGGAUUACUCUAAAUUUUUUGCUUUUAAAUCAAGACAAGACGGGAGUUCUCAUCUUUGGACCAGAAAUCCAGAAAAGGAAAUUGCUUAGCCAAUCGCCUGACCUUAAUGGCAUUAAAAAAGUCUCCGAGAACAAAGUAAGAAACAUUGGUGUUAUUUUUGACCAGGACAUGUAAUUCAAAUCCCAGGUUAAUCAUGUUUGUAGGAUUUCCUUUUUCCACCUUCGGAAUAUUGCUAAGAUUAGAAGCAUCCUUUCCAGGAGUGAUGCUGAAAAGCUAGUUAAUGUAUUUAUUACAUCAAGACUGGAUUACUGUAAUUCAUUACUCUCAGGAAGUCCACAGAAUGUAGUUAAAAGUCUUCAGCUUGUCCAAAAUGCUGCAGCUAGAGUUCUGAUGAGAAUUAAAAAGAUAGAUCAUAUCUCUCCUGUCUUAGCUUCCCUACAUUGGCUGCCUGUUAAAUUCAGAAUAGAUUUUAAGAUCCUUCUUCUCACAUAUAAAGCUCUUAAUAAUCAAGCUCCAUCAAACAUCAGUGAUCUGAUUGUUCCAUACGUUCCUAACUGAGCACUUCGCUCUCAGACUGCAGGUUUACUGGUGCUUCCCAGAAUAUCUAAAAUUAGAAUAGCAGGCAGAUCUUUUAGUUAUCAGGCUCCUCUCCUGUGAAACCAGCUCCCAGUCUUAGUCCGUGAGGCAGACACCUUGUCUACUUUUAAGAAUAGGCUCAAAAUAUUUUUAUUUGAUAGGGCUUAUGGUUAAAAUUUGAUGUUAGCCUAAAUCUGGACAAGUGGGGGAGUAGAGGGAGGUGGAGCCGGCUCUUCCUUGCCCUGCCUCCAACAUGCCUCCAUCUAAAAAGGCUCGGUUAUCCAGAGUUAUCUCUGUAGUUAUGCUGCUAUAGGCUUAGACUGCUGGAGGACACACUGACCACUUUUCACACUCUACUACUUUCUUCUACAAUCUGCUCUUUAACAGUAUUAUUUCCUGCUACUUCAGCUAUUAACUUUAUUUUUUCUCUAAGUGUUUUUCUCCCCAGAAGAAGCUAUAAUGAUGUUCUGCUGAUCUGUGGUGGCCUCAUGGAGGGGACCAUCGUCUAGCACACUGGAACAUUUCCACCCGGUUCUCCCCAGCGGCAGCUCUGGCAUCUCAGAUCGUAGCGGCGCUGGUCUGCUGUGCGGCUGUGGGCUUGUGGAGCUCUGGGGAGACCUCUGUGUUUCACCCGGUUUUACCCAGCGGUCAGCCCGGCGUAUCUCUGACUCAGAAGCUCUGGUGUUGUGCACAGUUAACUCUGGUUGUAGCUAGGUUGCUACCUCCAUUAGCUUAGUUCCCACCUCUGUGUUAGCUUCAGGUUAGCUUGUAGCUAGUUUGACCGGGUGUCGUCAGUUGAUCCCAGCCUUAUAGCCCCACCCUCAGCUCCUCCUCUCUUCCCUUUUGUGGAAUUGUCUGGGCCUGACGGAACCUGUGACACGGUCAAAAUGGCGGUGGUGGUCACCUCCCAUUUGGCCUCAAAAACGUGUUAUUGGAUUCUAUGUGUAACCCAUGAGAAGUAUUGGGCUACUAAACCUGUUUAUGUUGUCUGAACUGUAAUACCACAAAUGCCCACCAGGGUGCAGGUUACACCUUCUGAAACCUGAGCUAUAGACGUGCAACAUACUCACUUUUCGCCUCCAAGCAUAUGCGUGGCUGUGCACUGAACGGAGCGAGCUGGAACCUUGUGAGUCAUCUGUGAGCAACGGGAGUAACCGUUUGUUGAGAGCUAGCUUGUGGAGAUCCCGAUUGGUUUUAUAGUGACUCUGCAUUCUUGACGUGAUGGCGAGCCGAGCCCAGAUGGACUGCGGACAGGUGUAAACGGUGUGGCCAGCCGAGACAUCCUUUCGCAGAGGAACCUUCACGAACUGGAAAAAUCCAUACAGAUCUACAGAUAAGACACAAACACUACCCGGGUAGCAACGUUGCUCAAGAACUGAAUCCUAAAGAUCAACAUCUAUAUUUAUUUUUAUUUUUUUGGGGAAAAAGAGCUCUCUUAUUUUGGGUAUUGUAUUUGAUUUUGAAAAUAUUGUAACCACACAUUCUCUUUUUAUUUUAUUUUAUUUUUUUAUAUGCUGGGUGAAGCAAUAAAUCACCGUUGUUCAACUUUCGGAUGGUUUUCCUAAUUCUCUUUGUAGAUAGAGCCUAGUAGAUGUCUAGUACCUGACUAAAACUAGUCCCCUCUAUAGGUGCUACACAUGGAAACCCAUUGUCCAAUAUUUGUAUGUCGAUGCCUUUAACACAUUCCGAAAAAACCCUGUUUGUUGUACAGGAUACUAGUCCAUGAGCUGUACCAUGAGUUCUUAAACACACAUAAAUACACCGAUUUGUAACACCACCUCCAUUUGAGGUUUCAGUUCCCCUUUUACUCUGCAACCGUGCAUGACUCACUUCCUUUAUUAUUAUUAUGAGUUCAUUCUUUCAACACCUACUUCCAGCAGUUGUCGCUUUCUGCUCCUUUUUCUUGGCCCGAGCAGUGUGUACCGUUCAUCCAAGGCAAGGCGAUGUUUGACAUAGAUAAAGUGGGGGUGCAACAGCACCCUCUGCUGGUGACCUCAAAGUUUUAUUUAUCAGGAUGGUGCAAAAGUGGAUUUUAUACUUUUAGGAAGCCUCGAGAAAACAAGAAAGAAAACGAUCUUUUAUAUAGAGCCAUGCUCUGGAACUGAUGUUCAGGUCAGUGGUCUUUCUGGGCAAGAAGGGAGUGGCUUUUUGGGAUGACAGCACCCGUGAUGGUAUGUGAACUCAUGCUGGAAUGUACCUAUAACCUUCCAAAAGAAAGAAUUUACUCUUAAGAGAGAUAACUGGCUCUCAGACUUAAUUCAGAAUGAAGUCAUCUAAUAGUAUGCCUGAAGGCCUGCUGUGCUGUGCAGGUCUUUUUGAGCCGUGUGAAAUAGUGGCCAGGAGUUUACAACACACCAAAGCCAGCACACUGGGCGCCCUUCCGUGCAAUGAACUGCUGAGAAAGUGCAUGAAAGUGCAAUCGAAACACAACAGACCCAGAGGCAGCAGCACAACACUCAUGGCAAUGUGAGUUUUAUGAAGCAGUGGACUUGGCUAUGGAGGAACUAUAAGGAGAUUUGACCAAGAUGGCGUGGAAACAGCAGCUCUUAGAAAGACAGUGGUCAUUAAAGCAGCACAAAAGGAACUUCCUGUGAAUGUGGAUUCCACACCUUCCAUUACGCUUUCACAUGGACCGCCUGGGGAUGCACCUGAAAAUGAUCGGAGAUGUCUUCAGCAACUCUCCUGGUAACACCGUACAGGACGUAACUGCAACAAUGUCUAAACUCCAUCCACAAACAAGGGUUGUUUUCAAAAAAGCUGAAUACCCUCAUCAAUGCUCAUGCCUCCCUGUUUCAGCUGCAUCAUCAGAAAUGUUCCACUCUGCACCGCCUGAACACAUGGUUACACACAACCAUGACACAACAAGGCUGACAUACCUUGCUCUCAUGCAAGUCCAUGAAGAGAUUUUGGACAGUCUGGACAUUGGCAGCCUAAUAAGGAGCUUCAUCAGCGCCAACCCGGAGAGGAAGGCCACAUCCACAGUUGUGUGACGCAGAUGGUAAGUAGUCGCAUUUCAAAUGCUGCUGCCGUGCAGCACACGUUUACGCUGUUCAGCACCACAGUUACGUGGACAGCAGUUUUCAGCACCAUGGACAGUUCACCUGGACUUUGCUACAUAAUUAUUUUUAUUUUUGUUAUUAUUUUCAUAUUUAAUUAAUUUGUUAAUUCUUUCUAUUUUUGUGUGUUACGAUUUUUGCAGGCUUAAUCAAUAUGGCUGGUGUUCCUCGUUCAGCUCUAAAUGAUCAAUGAAUUAAACCUUUUUGAUAAGUGAUCAGA